UUCUUCGGGUGACGUCGAGUGUGAACACAAGUGUCUUCGAAGUUUCCCGGUGUUUUAAUUAAUAUUAUUUGUUUAAAUUGCUGUUGACUUGCGCUACUGAUUCGUGUUGGUGUUGGUAUAUAUCUGUUGUGCCGUGAGUGUAAAUAUAUUGUGUUUGUUAUAUUAUUAAAAGGUUAGUAAUUCAACAGUUGAUUACUUUGUAAAAUAAUAAUAAUUAAAAUUGAUGUGACCUUGUGCAAUCACGAAGCCCACCCAACAAAAAAGAAUCCAAACUUCACCAAAAGACAUCAGCUGAGCAUAAUCAAAACCACAGACUAUAAAACUUGACUUUGGCGAAAUCAAAAAGGACCGCCAUUACAAAAGAAAAUAUAUAUGUCUCCAUAAAAUAAAAUGUUCAUUGUUUUACUUUAAUUAUCGUUUAUUUUAAAAUUCACAACAGUUACUAGUAUAGGCUUUGCUUUUUACCCCGAAAUAUCCUAAAUCCUGGUAUUUUUUAAAUUGUCUUUAUCAUCCAAAAUAUCAGCUAUUUUUCCCUAAAAAAGGGAGAAUUCCCUAAAAGUGGAAGCACUGCUUCAAAGUACGCUACAUUUUUUAUUGAGUCAGAACUCAUAUCUGCCAUCUAGUGAGUUUAUUAGAUCAUUAAUGCCUAAAAGUUACAAAAAUGACGUCGCCACAGGAGUAAGAUGACGCUAGUUGUAUGUUAUUUUCCUUUGUAUGGGAGUUGCACCCCCCUGACUAGAAG